UGGCCCUGGUGAAGAGGGUGUGGGACAGAAGGCAGUGCUCCUCCCUGCAGCCAGGGGAUGCUAUAGUCAAGAUCAACGGCGCCGACGUGCAGAGUCUCAGCUUCGCUCAGGUCCAGCGGGUCCUCCAGAAACACACCAAGCAGGGAGAAGUAGUGCUGUUGGUUUACAGAGGAGGGUCCCUCUUUUCUCCUGUCUCCCCUAACCUCUACAAGCCC